UACGUAGGUGGCAAGCGUUGUCCGGAAUUAUUGGGCGUAAAGCGAGCGUAGGCGGGUUAGUCAGUCUGUUGUAAAAGCGCGGGGCUCAACCCCGGAAGGUCAAUGGAAACUGCUAAUCUUGAGUGCAGGAGAGGAAAGUGGAAUUCCCAGUGUAGCGGUGAAAUGCGUAGAUAUUGGGAGGAACACCAGUGGCGAAGGCGGCUUUCUGGACUGUGUCUGACGCUGAGGCGCGAAAGCAAGGGGAGCGAACGGG
rnacentral:rRNA from 1 species